AACUUUUAUUUCAUUGAAAAUUGUAGCAGCCAACAACUUCAUCUUCAUGAUGUCUCUCUUUCUCUCUAGAUAAUCAAUUAUAUAAUGGACAGAUAUACGUGAUUGUGACUUGACCACCAACAUCAUCAACCAACUUUAUUAUUCACUUAACAAUAUGGUCCUCUGAUAAUAUUAAAUAUUAAACCAACAAAGACUACUAAAAUAUUAAUCCAAGAUUGAACAAGACGUCCCGGUUCAAAGAAGAUGAUCGAUGAUUUACAUGACUGUGCAAGCUGAGGGAUUUUCUUCACUGAAACAAUCAGGGCGGGUAACACAGUAGCUUCUGUUUCCACCGCCGUAACUGUCAUACACAGGUCUUCCAUAGUAACCAUCAUAUUGUAUGUAUGGGGCAGGCCCACCGCCAUAACCAUUGUAGCAUGGCCCACCUGGAUGCCCCUGGUAACAAUCCAUACAACACGCGUUUACUUGGACAGGCGGUGGGUACCCUGGCACAACAGGACCCGGCUGCACUGGAGGAGGAGAAGGCUUCACUGGCUCAGCCGGUGGCGGUGCAGGUUUUGGCGGUUUCACUGGCUCCGCUGGUGGCGGUGCAGGUUUAGGAUUUUCAGGUUCCUUGGGUUUAUCUGCCGGUUUAGGUUUUUCAGGCUCUUUGGGUUUCUCUGCCGGUUUAGGUUUUUCAGGCUCUUUGGGUUUCUCAGUCGUCGGUUUAGGUUUUUCGGGCACUUUGGGUUUCUCUGCCGGUUUAGGUUUUUCGGGCUCUUUGGGUUUCUCGGCCGGUGGUGGCUUGGGCUUCUCUGGCUCUUUGAUCUCAAUGCUUUUUAUGGCACCUCCACCUUUGCAGCAAAUCUUGUCCCUUAUCUUUUCUGGACUACAGCAUACCACUUUGAUCACCACUUG
rnacentral:lncRNA from 1 species